AACACAUGCAAGUCGAGGGCGAGCAUAAAAGUAGCAAUACUUGGUGGCGACCGGCGCACGGGUGAGUAAUGCGUAUGCAACCUACCUAUCAGAGGGGAAUAACCCGGCGAAAGUCGGACUAAUACCGCAUAAAACAGGGGCACCGCAUGGUGAUAUUUGUUAAAGAAAUUCGCUGAUAGAUGGGCAUGCGUUCCAUUAGGUAGUUGGUGAGGUAACGGCUCACCAAGCCGACGAUGGAUAGGGGAACUGAGAGGUUGGUCCCUCACACUGGUACUGAGACACGGACCAGACUCCUACGGGAGGCAGCAGUGAGGAAUAUUGGUCAAUGGGCGAGAGCCUGAACCAGCCAAGUCGCGUGAAGGAAGAAGGAUCUAUGGUUCGUAAACUUCUUUUGCAGGGGAAUAAAGUGCAGGACGUGUCCUGUUUUGUAUGUACCCUGAGAAUAAGGAUCGGCUAACUCCGUGCCAGCCGCCGC
rnacentral:rRNA from 1 species